GAGUUUGAUCCUGGCUCAGAACGAACGCUGGCGGCGUGCCUAACACAUGCAAGUCGCACGAGAAAUCCUGGGCAACCGGGAAAGUAAAGUGGCGCACGGGUGAGUAACGCGUGGGUAACCUGCCCUUGAGUUGGGGAUAACCCCGCGAAAGCGGGGCUAAUACCGAAUAACAUGUCAAUUCCCAAGGGGAUUGGCAUCAAAGGUGGCCUCUGCAUGCAAGCUAUCGCUUAAGGAUGGGCCCGCGUACCAUUAGCUUGUUGGUAGGGUAACGGCCUACCAAGGCAAUGAUGGUUAGCUGGUCUGAGAGGAUGGCCAGCCACACUGGAACUGAGACACGGUCCAGACUCCUACGGGAGGCAGCAGUGGGGAAUCUUGCGCAAUGGGGGAAACCCUGACGCAGCAACGCCGCGUGGGUGAUGAAGGCCUUCGGGUCGUAAAGCCCUGUCAGGUGGGAAGAAACCUGUGGAUGCCAAUACCAUCUACAGUUGACGGUACCACCGGAGGAAGCACCGGCUAACUCCGUGCCAGCAGCCGCGGUAAUACGGAGGGUGCAAGCGUUGUUCGGAAUUAUUGGGCGUAAAGCGCGUGUAGGCGGUUGAGUAAGUCAGAUGUGAAAGCCUUCCGCUUAACGGAAGAAGUGCAUUUGAAACUGCUCAGCUAGAGUACGGGAGAGGAGAGUGGAAUUCCCGGUGUAGAGGUGAAAUUCGUAGAUAUCGGGAGGAACACCAGUGGCGAANGCGGCUCUCUGGUCCGAUACUGACGCUGAGACGCGAAAGCGUGGGGAGCAAACAGGAUUAGAUACCCUGGUAGUCCACGCCGUAAACGAUGGGCACUAGGUGUAGGAGGUAUUGACCCCUUCUGUGCCGAAGCUAACGCAUUAAGUGCCCGCCUGGGGAGUACGGCCGCANGUUAAACUCAAAGGAAUUGACGGGGCCGCACAGCGUGGAGCAUG
rnacentral:rRNA from 1 species